UGUCGCCUGGGAGUUGUAGUCCCAAGCUGCGAGGCCCUGGGUUCGUCCCAGGCUACACGAACCCUCGUCCUUAGACCCUAUCUCAACUCAGGGAGAAUGAACCAGCGCUUUCUACAAGGCCUGCAGGAGGUUCGCUCAUGUUGGAGUGCACGGUAACUGACUCAUUUAGCCAAGAGAAACGUAGGAGCGGAAUGGAGAUUACCGACCGAUACUCGUAAAGCGGUUCGGACAAGGUGACCCAGAGAAACGAAGUCACUUUGUUCAAGAUUGCUAAAUUAUAAAUGGCAAAGCAAGAGUCAAAGGCCGUUUAAAAUAAAUUAAAAA